GCCUGAGCCCAGCCAGCCCUUGCAGCAGGAACAUGGGGAGCUUUUCCCUGCCCAAACGAUGCUUUUGCCUUUUUACAGGGCUCGAGUCCGUCUUAUUUCCAUCCUCUCCCUGUCCCGGCAUCUCCUGCGGCUGGAUGGUUGUUGGCACCAAAGGCAGCAGGUGUGGUGCAGGAGGAAAAGGAAGAGGAAAAGACCUGAUGGCUAUGGAGCAAAUUCCCCAUCCGUGGCUUCAUCCAGUUAAUAGAGAAAUUGGAUCUGCUGGAGGCAAGUUCAUCAACUGUGGGAUGCACAAUGAAUCUGCUCUGGGCUCUGUCUCUGAUUCACCAUGUGCCAUGAAUCCAGCAACUCACUGCUGCCUGAAGCUUUCCUGACUUCCCUGCCAUUUCCCUGUGGUCACCCUGUGGAAGCAGAUCUCCAGGAGAACCAUCCACCUCAUCCCUGGUGAGCAGAUCCAGGUUCCUCCAGUUUUCCAGCAGGAUUUGCAGUAGGUGGUCACAGACCCGAGAGCUUGGCAGCUUUUUCAGUGGUGCUGUUUGCUGCAGAAACCACGUAUUUCUAUCCUUGUAUGGAACAAUCACAUCCUGAAGAAAACCAGGAUUUGUGCAGCCAAGCUGACUUUGCAAGUGCCACCACGCUUUGCAGCUGCCAAGACACUGACCCUGGAUUUCCUGAUCCUCUUCAAAUCCUUCCUAAACCAAUCCUGGGCCAGAGCAGCACGUCCUGGAGGACAGCUCCCAGUCCAUUUUUCCCAUACCAGGAUCUCCUUAUCUCUGUACAUCCCUGUCCUGAGGGUCCUUGGCUGCCCCAGCCUGCCCUGAGUGUCUCCCCAUGGGCACAGGGGAGGCCCAGUGGAGCCUUCUCCCACCACCCUGCCUUGGAGCACGUGGGACGUUCAGUGCUCCUGGGAGGUUGGGAUGAAUCAGAGUUUGCACGUCCUGAGUCACUCCAGGGAGUUGCCAGAGAGGAGGGGGGGAUGCCCAGGGUCAUCUGGGGGUGUAAAUAUCCCAGGAAAUUGUAUCUGAAAGAAAAUUCCCAUUGAGGGGUCACCACCUUGCAGGGCUGCUUUCAGCAGGGCCACCACCAUGGAGCAGGAGUGUCACUCCAUGAGAAAAAGUUAUUUCCUGGCCCUGCUUCCGUGUGAAUCCUUUCAGAUGGCCCAUAGCUGAUUAUUUGGGAGGGGGUGCCACAUCCCCAAGCCACGGCUCUCCUUGGAAACUUCCUGGGAUAUGCCAAGGGGUUCCUCUUGGCAGCUCCCUCAGAGCAAGUUUGUGGAACCAUGGCAUCCAUCGUGCCAGGGAGGCUGUGGAGGAAUGCCAGGCAAGUCCUCGAAGCAAGGCUUUUGGGAUGUCUUUUGAAUAGAAUUAAUUCCCAGUCCUCCCACUGAUUGCAGUUUUUAUAACUAUUUGGGGGGUUUUUUUGAGCUAGAGAUGCUCCUGAGCUCAUGUGAUGGCUUUGGGAGUGGAUUGGCUCGGGAGUCCAUCCCUGGUGCUCAAAGGAGGUUUAAGAUUUAAAGGGGAGAGGGGACACCCCUGGUGACACCCCAGGCACCUGGAUGUCCUCUGUGCCUUGAUGAACAGCACAGGGUGCUUCAAACACACACCCAGGCUUUAGAUUUUCACCUCCAUUUCUAGCCUGAAUGGAAUAAAUUCCCAGGUCAAGAAGAGCUGGAAGAACCACCCCAGGAUUUUUUUUUGUUCUCCGAGUCCCUGCCUUUAACGUGAGCUAAAUUUUCUCUGCUUGCUCACAGCAGAGGCUGAGCAGGGAGUGAGGCCAGAAAAACAGGGGGUCAUGUCAGACUUCCUUUUUUUCUCCUCUUAACACUGAAAUAAAAAUACAUCCCAAGCUUGUUUCGGGAUUAACAAGAAAAAAAAUUCCUCUUGAUGGGAACCAUCUGUGGCCGGGAGAUGCCGGCUGCUCUCUGCCUCCCACCCUCACACAGACGCCGUCGUUCGGGGUGUGUUCUUCUCCCAAAUAUUAUUCCUCUCAUCCCUGUGCUGCUGGGAGGAAUCCCAGCUAUUUAAGGAGGCUUUUCUGCCAGCAGUUCAAAGCAGCAGCAGCCCGUGGCACCUAUGGAGGAUAAUGUUUGCUCUGCUCAUUAUGGCCCCAGCGCCCAGCACAGCUUGCUGGUGGCUGCUGGGCUCGGAGGGUGAACUCUGCAAGUGCCUUGGUUGUCACCUCUGCACCCCAGACGUCACCUCGGGGUCAAAGCAAACAUCUCGAGGCCUCUCCUGCCCGUGCCACAAAGCAGGAGGGGAAAUCCGCCCCGAGGAGUGGAGAUUCCCUGGCUCUGCCUCUGCUGUGCUGCUGGAAACGAGGGGGUUGCUGGCGGUCCCGUCGUGGUGUGGAAGAAUGAGCUGAUUUCUGGGUGGAACUUGACCCCAGCUGAGCUUUUGGGGUGGGAAAUGCAAUUUCUGGGCUGCGAUGGCAACGGGAGGGUGAAGAGGUGCCUUUGCAGCAUCAGAAACUCCAGAGAGAUUUGGAGCAGGGAGAAGCCUUCAAGGCCAGGAAGAGGAGAGGAAGCUCAAGGUGAAGGCAGCAGAAUCCAGGGCAGGUCUGGCCCCAGGAGGAAAGGCUGGAAGAGUUUCUCUGCUCCCUCCAUGCAGCUGAGGAGGCUGCCUGGCUGAAAUGUCUCCUCCUGGCAUCAGCUCCUGGCAGGUUGAGCAGGAAGCUGGGAGCAAGACAAGCCCAACAGGUCCUGGGCUGUGAAGCCUCCUGGAUGGCAGCAACCAAGAGCUGAACUGAAAUGGGCACAAAGGAGCAUUCUGGAGGCUUGCCCAAACCUGGCUGGAUGAAGGACUUUUGUGUGGGCCUGGACAUCUUCAGAGUGGUCCAGGCUUGGCCUAGGAGGUGGUUGGAUUCAUUGGGAGAAAGGAGGGCAGGACAUUUAGGCCUUGCUUACCCUGCCCUCCUGUUUGUCCCUCAAUGUGGGAACCCCCCGGUUCCUGUAGUCUCCCAGGACCGAGUUCAUCCUCACCUCUCCUCCAUGGAACCCAGCAUGAGCUGGUUGGAGUGAAGGAUGCUGCUCCCUCCUUCCCCAGAUGAAGGUAAAAUGCUUCCCAUCUUUGAGGCUGGAAAAAUCCAUCCCCCAGACAAGGGCUUGGCCCUGCAGCCAGGGGUGCAGCCCACGCUCCCAUGCCAGGAAUGUGGGAUGUUCUGGUGCUGCUUUGCCCAGCCCUGCUCUGACCACAGGCUGGGAACAGAAUAUUCCUGGCUGCUCUCAGAAUAUUCCAUGAAUCUGUGAAUCCAUGGCUGUUGUAAGCUGGUGGCGUGCAAGGAGAGCUCAUCCUUCCAAGAUCUUUUAACAAAUCCCUCCUGGGCCAAACGUACCCCCAAAUGCCACUCUGGCUUUAACAGAGAAGGGUGUUCGUGCACAGUUACUGGUGCUCGGAAAGCUGAAUGCAGGUGCUGUGCUUCACCCAUCAGAAAGCAAUUUACAGAUUAAAUUUGUAGAAAUUUUUACGAACUGCUGGAACAGCAUCACGUAGAACAACAUUACAUCGGAACAGGAAGAAAAAUUGCUGUUGUUUUAGUGGAAAUGGAGGGAAAUGGAUUCAUGUAACAUUUUUAAGACGGUGAGGUUUUGAACUCGGGGAUUUAAUUUCAGCAGCGUUUGUGCGCACACGCUCCAGCCCAGGCAGGCUGAGCUGAGGCCGGGACGGGUUUUUUGUCCCCCGUAAUGGGGUCAAACCCCACAUCUCCAUCUGAGAAAACACUGGGAUGGAGAGGAUCAGAACACUGAUGCUCCCACUGGCCUGGCUGAAAAACAGGGGCUUUGUUCAGGGCUCCAGGUCAGGGGUUUUAUUUCAGUACCUGCAAAGGAGCUAUGAGAAGAAUGCAGCAGGUUCCUCCCGGCCCGGAGAAAUGCAGAGAUAUCUCCAAAGGUGUUUAAUAUUAACUGGAGCAGGGCACAUCCCCAAAGGGUUUGAUUGUGAGCCUAUCUGUGUUUGUAUCCAAACAUCACCUGCAGAUCCAUAACGUGGCCAGAGCCGGCGCAGGUGAAAGUCCUCCUGGAGGGAGCCGGAUCGAUGAUGGGUUUGUCAAUAAAGAUCAUCCCGUGCUGGCACCAGGAAUGUGAUCCAUGAGCCCAGACCUUCCUGAGCAGCAGAGAACAAAGGCCUCGGCCAAAAGGCUCUGAUGAAUGUGUUGGUGAAGAGGAGAGGGCUGGCUGGGCAGGGAGCAGAGGGAACAAAGCAGCCCUCUGUGCAGCCAGCGAGCGGCUCCUGGGAGAACGCCGGGAUUUGCUUUCCAGGGUGGAGUGAGGGGAGCUCCUCCAGCAACAGCCACUGGGAUUUUGAUGCAAGCAAAGGUUUGGCCUUCACACUCACCCUCUCUGACUCUUCUGGUCAGAUGUUAUCAGAAGCACUUUUUGAUAAAGCUCUUUCUCACAGGGCAGGGAAGUAUUGCACCACCGAAUGACAUAUUUAUUUCCUUCCUUGCUGUUUCAGCUGCAUUUGUUUAUUAAGUGGACUGCUCUUAGAAAAUGCUAUUAAACAAAGUUUAAUUUCAAACC